CCUAUCUAUUUCCUUCCAAGAGUAAACUAUGCCAAGGGAGGAGAAGGAAGUGAUUUUAUAUCAGAGAUGCCUGGCAAACACAAGGUGAUCAAGGUCAACGUCAACAAUGAUAAGUCAGACAACUCAAUGUUGAAAUGGCUCUCUGUUUAGAGCCCAGUGACAUGUUUAUGGUCAGGCAAAGAAAAGAUGCCUUCAGAGAGAGCCACAUGGAGGAGGCACUGUCUGAACUGGAGAUGGCCUGACUGGAGAAGACCUCUGCCUACUCACUGCUGCCUGCUUUUCCAGAUCUCAGGAUGCAUGGUGAUUCCUCUAGAUGCUCUAACUUGACUCCUGAUGCUAAAUUAUUUGCCGUUGCUAAAUUCUCUCACCUAAUCUUGAAGCUGGUUCUCAUUACAUAGCUCUAUCGUUGGGAAA